rnacentral:misc_RNA from 1 species
UCCCCCGUGAGGGGGCAGUCUCGCCUGACUUGUAAAACAGGCAACGCGGGUUGCGUUCGUUACCCCACUGAAGGGAACAACUCAAGCCACGAACUGACGACGACCAUGCAUCACCUGCCCAGCCGUCUUGCGAAAACGUAGUUUCCUACGUGGUCGUCUGGGUUUCAAACCCUGGUGAGGUUUUUCGUUUAUCAUCGAAUUGAGCCGCAUGAUCCACCGCUUGUGCAAGUCCCCGUCUAUUCCUUUGAGUUUUAAUCUUGCGAUCGUACUACCCAGGCGCACAACUUAACGCGUUAGCUUCGCCUCAAAGAGGGUCGAUACUCCUUAAAGCCAGUUGUGAUCGUUUAGGGCGUGGACUAC